ACCGCUGUGGCCCAAAAUCCUGACAAGGAACUCAUUAGUCUUUCUCCUUUGAAGCUUCUUAUAAAAAGCUAAAUAAAGGACUUUAGACUUAUAUUUCUAAGGCAUACUAUAGAGCUAACAGCCCCUUGGAAAGGGAAUAGAACAAGUAAAAAAUAAGACCUUGAGGGCAAGGACUCCUUUAUCCAAUUGGCUUCUUGACUCUGCAACGACAUAAUGUUUCCCUAAGUGAGCAUCACUCCUGGAAGGGCUGCUGUAUCCUUUGGAAACCAUAAGAGAAUCUUUUUCCCACCUUCUCUCUUCAGAGUCUCAAGACCAAGAGACUCACUGCUCUCCAAGCCAGAGUCUCCUCUUCCUCCAGAAUCUACUCCUUGGGCCCCUCCACCGUCAAGGUGAUCAAUUUGACCUACUCUUCAGUCUGGCACUUUUUCUCUAGUGCCAGCCUCUGUCACAUUAUUUUAAUAACAAUAAAAUUGUUUUUUAUUAUUUGUAUCAUAUUUAUGGUUAUAU
rnacentral:lncRNA from 1 species